UAAUUCAAAUUAAAAAAAGGAACAAGAC
rnacentral:sRNA from 1 species